UGGGGAAUAUUGCACAAUGGGCGCAAGCCUGAUUCAGCCAUGCCGCGUGUAUGAAGAAGGCCUUCGGGUUGUAAAGUACUUUCAGCGGGGAGGAAGGCGAUAAGGUUAAUAACCUUGUCGAUUGACGUUACCCGCAGAAGAAGCACCGGCUAACUCCGUGCCAGCAGCCGCGGUAAUACGGAGGGUGCAAGCGUUAAUCGGAAUUACUGGGCGUAAAGCGCACGCAGGCGGUCUGUCAAGUCGGAUGUGAAAUCCCCGGGCUCAACCUGGGAACUGCAUUCGAAACUGGCAGGCUAGAGUCUUGUAGAGGGGGGUAGAAUUCCAGGUGUAGCGGUGAAAUGCGUAGAGAUCUGGAGGAAUACCGGUGGCGAAGGCGGCCCCCUGGACAAAGACUUACGCUCAGGUGCGAAAGCGUGGGGAGCAAACA
rnacentral:rRNA from 1 species